CCUACGGGCGGCAGCAGUGAGGAAUAUUGGUCAAUGGACGAGAGUCUGAACCAGCCAAGUAGCGUGAAGGAUGACUGCCCUAUGGGUUGUAAACUUCUUUUAUAUGGGAAUAAAAUGUUCCACGUGUGGGAUUUUGUAUGUACCAUAUGAAUAAGGAUCGGCUAACUCCGUGCCAGCAGCCGCGGUAAUACGGAGGAUCCGAGCGUUAUCCGGAUUUAUUGGGUUUAAAGGGAGCGUAGGUGGAUUGUUAAGUCAGUUGUGAAAGUUUGCGGCUCAACCGUAAAAUUGCAGUUGAAACUGGCAGUCUUGAGUACAGUAAAGGUGGGCGGAAUUCGUGGUGUAGCGGUGAAAUGCUUAGAUAUCACGAAGAACUCCGAUUGCGAAGGCAGUUCACUGGACUGCAACUGACACUGAGGCUCGAAAGUGUGGGUAUCAAACAGGAUUAGAUACCCGGGUAGUC
rnacentral:rRNA from 1 species